CACCAAUAUGAUCAAGUAGAUAAUUAAUGGCAAUUCACUAAGCAACCAUGCAAGCAGCAUAAGCACAAAGUAUAAUUACACAAGUACAACUAAAAGCUACUUUGCCUUAGGGUAUUAUUAUUAUUAUUUUUGUUUGAUUGAUCCUAUUUUCUCUAUUGCCCAGUCGUUUUGGUUGGUUGGUUGGUGUUUGAUGUGCAUUUUGGUGGGAUUUAGUGAGUCUGCAAUUUUCAAUAGGU
rnacentral:lncRNA from 1 species